UACGUAGGGUGCAAGCGUCGUCCGGAAUUAUUGGGCGUAAAGAGCUCGUAGGCGGUCUGUCACGUCGGCUGUGAAAUCCCGAGGCUCAACCUCGGGUCUGCAGUCGAUACGGGCAAACUAGAGUAUUGCAGGGGAGACUGGAAUUCCUGGUGUAGCGGUGAAAUGCGCAGAUAUCAGGAGGAACACCGGUGGCGAAGGCGGGUCUCUGGGCAAUAACUGACGCUGAGGAGCGAAAGCGUGGGGAGCGAACAGG
rnacentral:rRNA from 1 species